UACAAAUGACAUGUCUUGUUGUA
rnacentral:siRNA from 1 species